rnacentral:rRNA from 1 species
GUAGGGAAUAUUGGACAAUGGGCGAAAGCCUGAUCCAGCCAUGCCGCGUGAUAGAUGAAGGCCCUCUGGGUUGUAAAUAUCUUUUAUCUGGGAAGAAACUCCUCUAUUCUUAGAGGCCUGACGGUACCAGAGGAAUAAGCACCGGCUAACUCCGUGCCAGCAGCCGCGGUAAUACGGAGGGUGCAAGCGUUAUCCGGAUUCACUGGGUUUAAAGGGUGCGUAGGCGGGUUGAUAAGUCAGUGGUGAAAGCUCCGGGCUUAACUUGGAAGCUGCCAUUGAUACUGUCAGUCUUGAAUGUCGUAGAGGUAAGCGGAAUGUUGCAUGUAGCGGUGAAAUGCUUAGAUAUGUUACAGAACACCAAUUGCGAAGGCAGCUUACUAUGCGAUAAUUGACGCUGAGGCACGAAAGCGUGGGGAGCAAACAGGAUUAGAAACCCUUGUAGUCC